rnacentral:misc_RNA from 1 species
GAUGAAGAACGUAGUGAAAUGCGAUAAGUAAUGUGAAUUGCAGAAUUCAGUGAAUCAUCGAAUCUUUGAACGCAUCUUGCGCUCCUUGGUAUUCCGAGGAGCAUGCCUGUUUGAGUGUCAUUUCAACCCUCAAGCUCUGCUUGGUAUUGGGCUCCGUCCUCCUCGGACGCGCCUCAAAGACCUCGGCGGUGGCGUCUUGCCUCAAGCGUAGUAGAAACACCUCGCUUUGGAGUGCAUGGCGUCGCCCGCCGGACGAAACCUUUUGUAUUUUCUCAAAGGUUGACCUCGGAUCAGGUAGGGAUACCCGCUGAACUUAAGCAUAUCGAUAAGCGGAGGA